rnacentral:lncRNA from 10 species
GUGGUGUUAUUUUAUACCUCUUGGGGUGGAGAUUGUGGAAGUUACUUAUUCUUCCUCUUCUGCCUUCUAUUGUCUUCAACUACCCCAAAAAAAUCUCCUGGAAACUACUCUCUGAAAGAAGUUGGAGAAAAAUUAUUAAUGCACUUGAAGAAGAUCAAGAAAAAAGAAAGCGUGAGUAAUGUUUUGGCUCCAUUAUAGUUUUAUGAGAGCACCAUCACAUAUGCGGUUCGUUGCUGACCAAAACAUUGCCUCAUGCUGGAGAAGAGUAUCCGAGCAUAGUUGCUGCUUCGAGUCACUCCAGGGAGAUCUAAAAUUCCAGGUGAACCAUUUGCUGCUAUAGUCAAG